rnacentral:lncRNA from 1 species
GUGCCAGCGCUCCUCUCCCAGCGCUCACCGGUCCUUCCAGCAGUCCUCAGGUUGCACGCGACCGGCAGUGAGCUUCCACUGGGUAGGGGUGGGAAGCCGGUGGCUCCGGGCAGCGGUGAUAACCCAGCAAGGAAGCAGAGUCGCAUUUCGGAGCGUCCACUCGUAACGCGGCCUCUCGCACACGGAGCUCGUAGUCCAGGGGAGAGGAGGCCAGGGCGGCCCUGGAGAGGUUGUAGGUGCAGCGGAUCGGCCGUAGAGACCCCGUCGGACUCAGGAAGGCACUGUCAGCCGCUCGGAGCGGAACCCCUUUCCCAGACAGUAGAGUCACCCCUCCCCCUCCGGGGACCGUUACUGGUCGCCUCCUGAAGGAUCAAUCUGGGAUUGUCCGCUAAAGUGGCCUUAGGCACCGUUAGUCUAGGGCUCGCUGGCUUGUGGCCUCAGAAGCUCUGUGUCCUGGGGCCUUUGCAAACCAACCCAGCACUACAGAAAAACAAGUCCAGUAAUGGAAUGCUUUAAAAGCUGGAUACAAUGUCUCAUACCUGCGCUUGGGAAGCUGAAGCAGGAGGACUGCUGAAAGUCUGAGACCAGCCUGGGCUACAAGUGAGACUGUCUCAAAAAACAACCCCCCCCCCCAAAAUGCAAAACCAAAACGAGAAAGAAAAAGAAUAACACGAUGUCCUGGUGUCAGUGGCUCUUGGAUCACUCUAGUUUUCUCUACUCUGACUGUAUCAACAAACUAAUUCCUUAGAAUCACCAUGUGGCGAUGUGACUUGCAGAUGCCCCAGAAAUGGCUACUGUCUGGGAUCCGGGUCGAGGUUUUGCAUGAUUUCUUUCAUGGCUGCACAUGCUUCUCUUCGUAAGGCUUUGGCUUGGCCUACUUACUAGAAGUGCUCAAUAGCACACCGAUGCUUUCUCUGUACUGUCUAUUCUCACUCGGUCUAGUUCCACAUUUGAUGUCGCUAUCUUCUCCAGACACUAAUGCCAGAGUGUUGACAUUAGAGUUCAUCUGUAGAAGAUCCUUUCCCUAGCCCGAGUGUUGCCAAGGCUUUUUUAGGAAAAGCCUUCCAAAUGUUAGAGGCCCAGAGAUUUAGCACGAGAGUCUUGUCAAAUAAUCUCAAUAAAGAGAAUCGUUGUCCCAAGUAGUAACGAUGAUAUUCCUUCCAUUGCCUAUCCCAACUAUCUUAGGAAAGGGAUCAUAGUCAUUAUUUUCUUUGUGUUACUAUGAGCCUAGUUCUGUUUCCUAGCACAGUACAGCUUUGUAUUGUGCUUAAAUGUCUUUGGGUAAAUGCCUGUCCACAUGAUCACUCAUCAUUGUAGGCCUUGCAUCUGUGCUGGCCAUGACAUCCAUAGUCAGAGCUGGGUGAGGCUCUUCUUCAAGGAGGGACAUUACAAGGAUACUACCCUCUGCUUUCUCCUCCCUUGUGGAACUUCAUGAAAAGCUUGGCUCUUCUUUCUAUUUGGCUGAAUAAAGAGCAGGAUGGUUUCUCUGAGUCCUGAUAGGAUGAGAACUAUAUCCUUGCAUAGUCCACAGAGCUUCAGGUCCUUUGUGUGCCCUUAGAGAUAUGUCUGCUUCUUUCCCGCCACAGGUCAGAAGCCCAGAAGCACCGGAAGGUGAAGGUCCUUUUUACAGCACAUAAUUCUCUUUUUCUAGUGUGACUACUUUUGUUCUCUGUCUCUCUCUCCUCUCUUUUAUGUUUUAGCCCGGGCUGUCAUAGAACUUAUCAUCCUGUGGCCACUGCCUCCUGUGUGACCAAGUUGCAUGUGUACACCAGCAUGCCUGGUGUUUGGGUUUGUGCAUGCUCAACAAACACUUUACCAAUUGAGCUAUAUCCCAACCUCCAUUUUGCUUUCUUUAUGAGGGUCCAGUUUUUCAAAUUGGCCCAGUUACAUGCUUGUGUGAAGAGUCACAGAAUGCAUUGGUCAAUGCCACUCUGCAAUUUUCUUUCUUAAAACCAUAUAAUAGAGUUGACCAUUGGCUUGCUUUGGUGAGAAACCUAUGCAGAGAAGCCAGGUAGUCCAGAAAGGAGACUGAGUCUGUUGAAGUCAAUGGGAUGCUCUUUUGUUUUUAGUCUGAGAAGUGCAAUCUAUUGGAGAGAAAGUUUCAGUUGCCCAACGAUCAGAAAUCUGAGAAAAGGUGCUUUCAUAGGUGCUGGCUGGUAACUCAGAUGGACUGCGUGUGGGAAAGAGAAGCUGGAGGAGCAAGGCUUGCCCUCUUGCCAAGGGGCAGUGCUGAAGGUAGCAGCCUGACAGUGCCCACAUCAAUUUGUGUGAUUGAUUGUGCUCAGUUUUCUUCUCGUUUGAGAUAAUCUUGCACUAUUACAAAAAACAAACCAAACAAAAACAAAC